rnacentral:misc_RNA from 1 species
ACGGAAGAUGGGGACUAUCAGGUAAAACUACGCAACCUGAUACGUUUCCUUACAGAAGGGGACAAGGCCAAGGUAUCGUUGAGAUUCCGCGGUCGUGAGAUGGCCCACCAGGAGCUGGGAAUGGAGUUGUUGAAGCGGGUCGAAGCUGACCUCGCGGAAUACGGCGCCGUUGAACAGCAUCCGAAGAUGGAAGGACGCCAACUAAUGAUGGUCAUCGCCCCCAAAAAGCGAAAGUAACCUCCAGGGCACAGGCAGGCCUUCUGGUUAUCGGUAAUCACUUCAAUGCGGAGUAACAAACAUGCCAA